rnacentral:rRNA from 1 species
GAUGAACGCUGGCGGCGUGCCUAAUACAUGCAAGUCGAGCGAACGGACGAGAAGCUUGCUUCUCUGAUGUUAGCGGCGGACGGGUGAGUAACACGUGGAUAACCUACCUAUAAGACUGGGAUAACUUCGGGAGACCGUAGCUAAUACCGGAUAAUAUUUUGAACCGCAUGGUUCAAAAGUGAAAGACGGUCUUGCUGUCACUUAUAGAUGGAUCCGCACUGCAUUAGCUAGUUGGUAAGGUAACGGCUUACCAAGGCAACGAUGCAUAGCCGACCUGAGAGGGUGAUCUGACAGACUGGAUCUGAGGCACGGUCGAGACUCCUACGCGAGGCAGCAGUAGGGAAUCUUCCGGGAAGAGCGAGAGCCUGACGGAGCAACGCCGCGUGAGUGAUGAAGGUCUUCGGAUCGGAAAACUCUGUAAUUAGGGAAGAACAUAUGUGUAAGUACCUGUGCACAUCUUGACGGUACCUAAUCAGAAAGCCACGGCUAACUACGUG